CAAGUAGGAGUAGCACUAGUAUUUUUAGGAUUAAGUGAAAAUAGGGAGACAAUAUAUUUGUAUUAAGGGUUUAGUCUUUGAAUCGUGGAUUUGUGCAGAUUCCCUUGGCCUUCCUUCCUGUUUAACCUUUGAUGUCUGGUCUUGCUGUAGAGACUGAAUACAGCAAGAUUAUUGCCAGACUUUUUUUGUUUUCUUAACUAUUUUACGACGUAAUCAUUGACGAAACGAACUCCACUACAAAUACAAGCCUCUAUAGAAGCACCUCUGAUCCUUUUUUUGUUAGAAAUAAAAAGACAAAGAUGUUUUAUUUUCUAAGAGUAUGUAGUAGUAGCAUUAGUGAAAUAACCUACUAUGAUGGAUCAUAUUAUUAUUGUUAUCAGUGGGCUAUUGUUUUUGUUUUUUUGUUUUUUUGUGGAAAGAUUCAGAGACUGUAUCCAGACCUGCCUUGCUGUUACCAAUAUAUUCCUUUUUUUGUGGAAAGAUUUAGAGACUGUAUCCAGACCUGCCUUACUGUUACCAAUAUGUUCCUUUUUUGAACAGGGAGUUAUUCUACCGUAAACUAAGAUUAUUUUUACGUAUUUUUUAUUUUUUUUAAGGAUACUUCCACUGACAUUCUUAGAGCUGUCAUUUUAUUGUGAGGAACUGCAGUUCGAUCGGAAUAGUUUUUCUGUUUUCGUCCUCUGUUUUGUGAGUGACCCUCUCACUCAGUCAACUCGUCUCAGGGCACAAGUCUCCCCUUCUCCAGACACUGCGUAUGAAUCAGACUCCGUAGCUCGUUGUGACACGUGAGCCUCUGGAUGAAAAGCAGAGUAUCUCUAAAGCAGCGUGGUCCUAUCAGCCCCCCAUGUUGGACUAAACACUUUCAACUCUACACAAGUGAAAACCCCAAAUCCCUAAAGAUCCUCUAUUUGCCAAACUAGAGGGACAUGAAGUCUGACUCCAUCCUCAACAUGUGGACCUGCCCUGAGGAUGUUGGACACCACUGUUACACCUUCAGCCUUCGUUGAUUUCCUGUCAGACUGGUUGUUUUUCAACUACAUUCCACGGACGGACUGACCUGAACUUUUACCAGGACAGGAAUACAAUGUUCAACAGACUCCCUCCUCACCAGUGGGACUGACUACU